GCCAACCUGGAAAACCAAUUCAAGUCAGGAAAAAGUAGAGGAAUUUAAAAAAAAAAACGUAUUUCAGAAAAGUAAAUGAAGUUUGUUUUGUCGAAAAGAUAUACUGAUUCAUUUAUUUUCACACUACGACAAUUUAAUUUAAAUAAUUAUGAUGUAAUUAAUCAUAACCCGGGGCUCAACUGGUUUUCAAAAGUAUUAGUAAGUGGUUCAGACGCUUACCUUAAGGCCUGCCCAAGUUGGAACACGUGCAUUAUGUAGCUGAUGGCGUUCGUCUUUAUCCCAAUCUUUUCGAGCCAUUUGUUCCUGUUUUUAAAGAUAUUAGUUAGUAACUUGAAGAAUAUUCUGCCGAAAUUAUUUGUUAGAGUGUAAUUGCUUUUAAUUACAAGCCUUUAAAAUAGAGGAACAAACUUUUGGGACACGCUGUACAUAGUCACCAUUGCCCGUUUUGCGAUAAGAGUCGAGUUUCUGUGAUAUCCUGGAAUAUCUCAGAAAAUCGCAAUAAAUCCAAAUGAAGAAAAAAAAGGUGCGAGAUCACACUUUGUGAAAUUCAAAAAUAUCUUUGAAUAUCGCAACGACGCAAAAGAUAUGAAUAGCUCGUUUGCGAUGUUCUACGAUUUUCCAUGAUAUCCUAUUAGGUGAGUUCAUUCCGGCUUGAGAAAAGAAUUGUGUGCAAAAGAAUUUGAUACGCAUGGGUCGACCUUUGGAUAUUCUGCGAUUUUUUUUUCAACAUUUAAAAUUAACUGUAUUAAAAUUAUCCGAAUUUGAAGCACUGUUAAGUUAUGCGUGACAUUUCUAAAACGCAUAGUUUUAAAGCGGCUUAUAAAACAAAAGAAAUAAAACAAAAACAGAAAAAGCAAUAAACAACAUUUGACAAAUUAAAUGAAUAAAACCCUUCUAAAAAUAUAUAUACUGUGGAACCCCGGACACCCUCGGGACUUUCAUAAGUGUCCGUAUUAUCGGGGUGUCCGUGUUAAGCGGGCUUUGUUUUGUUUUACUUCAUAGUUAAAUGACUUCGUCUUCUGGAAAAGGCGACUUGAAAUAAAAAGUCACGUGACUUCUUAGUUCAAGUGUAAUUUUUCAAAAAAAAAAAUUGCACGAGCCCGUAGGGCGAAUUUGAGACUAUUUAAAGCACACGAGCGCAAUUACGAAUCGUAUGAUCACUUAUAAAUAACACACAAAUUAGUUAAAGUCAAGUUUUUGUUUGAAACACAGUAAAACAGCGCGCUUUUUUAAAAAAACUGGUGUGAUUCGUCCGUGGAAUUGGACAUUGAAUCUAAAAAUGAUCACAAUAUGUUUUUUGUUUGUUUUAAACGCGAUCCCCUGAUAGAAUAGAAUAGCCAUAGAAUUGCUCUGUCAUAUUUUUUUGCUAAUUAACACCCGAGUGUUUUUUGCCCAGUUAUAUUUUUGCUUAUUUUUAUCACCCGAUGAGUGUUUCUGUCCCGUUAUAAUUUUGCCUUUUUUUCGCUAAUUGUUCACUUUCCUCCCUCUGAUUGAUGUUGCGCUAUAUUCCUCGAGGUUCACGUGGGUAAAGGUCAGUUAUUAAGAAACUCAUAAAUAAUCAUAUAGAACCAAAUUAAUUCCGGCCCGCUGUAGACUUGUAUCAACAUUGUGAAUCAAGCCCUUAAAUGAUACAAACUUUUGCAUUUUGCUUUUAUUGUUGUCAUUCUUCUGACAGGUAUUUGGAUUAGUUGAUGGAAGCGUUACCUGGAAUGCCGAGCCUAUGACGCUCCCCGUGGAGAUCGAUGCUCAAAAAGCAUCGAUCUCCACAGGGGCCGGGGUCAAAAAUUCCGUUGUUAAGAGCGUGCGGCUUGUUAUGAUACGAUCUUACGUUCUGUUAUCAACAUCACCCAAUCAGAAUCCGCUUUUUUUGCAUACGUCAUUCACCCCUUGCUGGCUGCCUGGGAUGUCGCCGACUUGUACUGGUUUUCGUUGGAUUGUGCCGGUUGCAUUUUCUUAGCGAAUCUCCGUGAUUUUAGUGAAUUUUAUCGAAUUUUAGUGAUCAAGUCAAAAUGACUUCCAAGAAAUUUGUUGUUGUGGAGUGGCUGAACAACGCAGAGGAUCGUCGCGAGUUAACAGUUCAGGGGAAAUGAAGUUUUGCGCCAGAGUGGUUUGGUAUCGGUGGUAUUCAUUGCAUUGCAGCAGAUAACACACCAAGACUUUACGAGGCAGAAGUGUUGCAAAACUUCGGAACGUCGAUGCUAUUAUCUUCUGCGGCAUUGUCUGGCUUGAUUUUGGAUUACUUUCCUCCGUGAUUUGUAAAUACUCUUGCUUUUGGUGGCGGACGUUUGGGAGCACAAGCAGCUUCACAGUUCUAAACUACGGAGUACAUUUUUAUAAAAGCAUGAAGUAUUUGAACCCAGGGCGACGGUAAACCUCGACGGCGUUUAAUUCUAUAUUGUAACAUACAUGCGCCGUAAUAAGGGUGCAGCACCUCUGUAUUAUGACUUUAGUGCUAAAACUCGGAGCAAUUUCAGAAUUAUAUCUCAACUUGCAGUUUUUGGAUUUGGAUUUCAGACUCACAGCGCAAGGCAAAGCAGUUUGAAAACGAGCUGCUUGAGGAGGCAACGACAGCGUUGACCGAGGUUUACAAAGAUGUUUCUGCAGAGGAUCAGCAAAGUCCACUGUCACAACAAAAGCAGAAAAUUAAAUAUCUGUCAAAGCCCCUGGAAGGGGUGAAGAGGCUUGUCAGACCUCUUCACCAAAGAAGAACUCAUGCGGUGCACACUGAAGGGGAAGGGAAUGUCCAGGGAUGCCUGGACAGCAACAAGCUACAGAUAAUUUAUGGUGCAAUGAGGGGAAAUUACGGAAUGACUGAUGAGAAAGUGGACCAGCUGAUUACAAAACAGCAAAAUCCUUAAAAAACAAAACCAAAAAAAGUCUUCAGUAAAGCUAAGUGAAAUGUCCAUUGUUUGUGUAAAAUGUUCGCUUUAGUGGGUUUUUUAAUCAUAGAGAUAUUUUAGCUUGCCUUGCACUUUUUGUUGUAUACCAACUUUUUGUCGAAUUUGGUUUUGUCUUUUAACGAUUUUGGCUGAUUUCUAUAACGUUAUAGAAGUCACUGUUCACGUUGUAUCCGAAAAUUAUAAAGUUGAUUAUCAAAUUUUGAAAUAAUUGUAAAAUUGUUCUGUAUUCUAAAAAUAAAAUUAUUUGCUGGAAAAUAUUGCUAGAUAUUUGUAAUAAAUUACCGGAUAUCCAAGAAAAGCGUAUAAUAUUCUGCAAAAUGACAAUAUGUCAAUAACAAUAACCUCAAUUUCCUUCAAUUCCGAAAAAUCUAAUAAUAUCCGAUUAUGCAUUCACUAAAAUCAAAGAAAAUCCAA